rnacentral:rRNA from 1 species
UGGGAAACAGGUUAAUAUUCCUGUACUUGGUGUUACUGCGAAGGGGGGACGGAGAAGGCUAUGUUAGCCGGGCGACGGUUGUCCCGGUUUAAGCAUGUAGGCUGGUUGUCCAGGCAAAUCCGGAUAAUCAAGGCUGAGGUGUGAUGACGAGGCACUACGGUGCUGAAGUAACAAAUGCCCUGCUUCCAGGAAAAGCCUCUAAGCAUCAGGUAACAUUAAAUCGUACCCCAAACCGACACAGGUGGUCAGGUAGAGAAUACCAAGGCGCUUGAGAGAACUC